rnacentral:rRNA from 1 species
GAGUUUGAUCGUGGCUCAGGAUGAACGCCGGCGGUGUGCCUAAUACAUGCAAGUCGUACGCACUGGCCCAACUGAUUGAUGGUGCUUGCACCUGAUCGACGAUGGAUCACCAGUGAGUGGCGGACGGGUGAGUAACACGUAGGUAACCUGCCCUGUACAGGGGAUAACAAUCAGAAAUGACUGCUAACACCGCAUAGGACCACAGCACCGCAUGGUGCAGGGGUAAAAACUCCGGUAGUACAGGAUGGACUCGCGUCUGAUUAGCUGGUUGGUGAGGUAACGGCUCACCAAGGCGACGAUCAGUAGCCGGCUUGAGAGAGUGAACGGCCACAUUGGGACUGAGACACGGCCCAAACUCCUACGGGAGGCAGCAGUGGGGAAUAUUGCACAAUGGGGAAACCCUGAUGCAGCAACGCCGCGUGAGUGAAGAAGUAUUUCGGUAUGUAAGGCUCUAUCAGCAGGGAAGAAGGUGACGGUACCUGACUAAGAAG